GACGAACGCUGGCGGCGUGCCUAAUACAUGCAAGUAGAACGCUGAAGCGAGGAGCUUGCUCUUCUUGGAUGAGUUGCGAACGGGUGAGUAACGCGUAGGUAACCUGCCUUGUAGCGGGGGAUAACUAUUGGAAACGAUAGCUAAUACCGCAUAACAAUAGGUGACACAUGUCAUUUAUUUGAAAGGGGCAAUUGCUCCACUACAAGAUGGACCUGCGUUGUAUUAGCUAGUAGGUGAGGUAACGGCUCACCUAGGCGACGAUACAUAGCCGACCUGAGAGGGUGAUCGGCCACACUGGGACUGAGACACGGCCCAGACUCCUACGGGAGGCAGCAGUAGGGAAUCUUCGGCAAUGGGGGCAACCCUGACCGAGCAACGCCGCGUGAGUGAAGAAGGUUUUCGGAUCGUAAAGAUCUGUUGUAAGUCAAGAACGAGUGUGAGAGUGGAAAGUUCACACUGUGACGGUAGCUUAACAGAAAGGGACGGCUAACUACGUG
rnacentral:rRNA from 1 species